rnacentral:rRNA from 1 species
CAAUAAGCGGAGGAAAAGAAACUAACAAGGAUUCCCCUAGUAACUGCGAGUGAAGCGGGAAAAGCUCAAAUUUAAAAGCUGGUAGUCUUUGGCUGCCCGCGUUGUAAUCUAGAGAAGUGUUAUCCGCGUUGGACCGUGUACAAGUCUCCUGGAAUGGAGCGUCAUAGAGGGUGAGAAUCCCGUCUUUGACACGGACUGCCAAGGCUUUGUGAUGCGCUCUCAAAGAGUCGAGUUGUUUGGGAAUGCAGCUCAAAAUGGGUGGUAAAUUCCAUCUAAAGCUAAAUAUUGGCGAGAGACCGAUAGCGAACAAGUACCGUGAGGGAAAGAUGAAAAGAACUUUGGAAAGAGAGUUAAACAGUACGUGAAAUUGCUGAAAGGGAAAUGCUUGAAGUCAGUCGUGUUGUCCGGGGAUCAACCUUGCUUUUGCUGGGCGUACUCUCCGGUUGACAGGCCAGCAUCAAUUUUGGCCACUGGAAAAAGGCCAGGGGAAUGUGGCAUCUUCGGAUGUGUUAUAGCCCUUGGUCGCAUACAGUGGCUGGGAUUGAGGAACUCAGCACGCAUUUUUUGUCGGGUUUUUAACCACGUUCGUGCUUAGGAUGCUGGCAUAAUGGCUUUAAUCGACCCGUCUUGAAACACGGACCAAGGAGUCUAACAUGCCUGCGAGUGUUUGGGUGGAAAACCCGAGCGCGCAAUGAAAGUGAAAGUUGAGAUCCCUGUCGUGGGGAGCAUCGACGCCCGGACCAGACCUUUUGUGACGGAUCUGCGGUAGAGCAUGUAUGUUGGGACCCGAAAGAUGGUGAACUAUGCCUGAAUAGGGUGAAGCCAGAGGAAACUCUGGUGGAGGCUCGUAGCGAUUCUGACGUGCAAAUCGAUCGUCAAAUUUGGGUAUAGGGGCGAAAGACUAAUCGAACCCU